UGUAGUCUGCAACUCGACUACAUGAAGCUGGAAUCGCUAGUAAUCGUAGAUCAGCAUGCUACGGUGAAUACGUUCCCGGGUCUUGUACACACCGCCCGUCACACCACGAGAGUUUGUAACACCCGAAGCCGGUGGAGUAACCUUUUAGGAGCUAGCCGUCGAAGGUGGGACAAAUGAUUGGGGUGAAGUCGUAACAAGGUAGCCGUAUCGGAAGGUGCGGCUGGAUCACCUCCUUU
rnacentral:rRNA from 1 species